rnacentral:rRNA from 1 species
AUUGAACGCUGGCGGCAGGCCUAACACAUGCAAGUCGAACGAGUGGCGGACGGGUGAGUAAUGUCUGGGAAACUGCCCGAUGGAGGGGGAUAACUACUGGAAACGGUAGCUAAUACCGCAUACCAUCGGAUGUGCCCAGAUGGGAUUAGCUUGUAGGUGAGGUAACGGCUCACCUAGGCGACGAUCCCUAGCUGGUCUGAGAGGAUGACGAGGCACACGGGAACUGAGACACGGUCCAGGCUCCUCCGGGAGGCAGCAGUGGGGAAUAUGGCACAAUGGGCUGAAUUCUGAUGCAGCCAUGCCGCGUGGAUGAAGAAGGCCUUCGGGUUGUAAAGUACUUUCAGCGGGGAGGCGUUACCCGCAGAAGAAGCACCGGCUAACUCCGUGCCAGCAGCCGCGGUAAUUC